UGAAUAGCUUGUACAUACUCGAAAGGA
rnacentral:sRNA from 1 species